rnacentral:rRNA from 1 species
GAUGAACGCUGGCGGCGUGCCUAAUACAUGCAAGUCGAGCGAACGGACGAGAAGCUUGCUUCUCUGAUGUUAGCGGCGGACGGGUGAGUAACACGUGGAUAACCUACCUAUAAGACUGGGAUAACUUCGGGAAACCGGAGCUAAUACCGGAGAAUAUUUUGAACCGCAUGGUUCAAAAGUGAAAGACGGUCUUGCUGUCACUUAUAGAUGGAUCUGCGCUGCAUUAGCUAGUUGGUAAGGUAACGGCUUAUCACGGCAACGAUGCGUAGCCGACCUGAGAGACGGAUCGGCCACCUGGGAAGGUGGACACGGUCCAGACUCCUACGAGAGGGCGCAGUAGGGAAUGUUCCGCAAUGGUGGAAAGCAUGACGGAGCAACGCCGCGUGAGUGAUAAAGGUCUUGGGAUCGUAAAACUCGGUUAUGAGGGAAGAACAUAUGUGUAAGUAACUGUGCACAUCUUGACGGUACCUAAUCAGAAAGCCACGGCUAACUACGUG